CAGGGUGUAGCUCAGUUGGGAGAGCGCAGCGUUCGGGACGCUGAGGUCGCAGGUUCAAGUCCUGUCACCCUGACCA
rnacentral:tRNA from 1 species